rnacentral:rRNA from 1 species
CCUACGGGUGGCAGCAGUGGGGAAUAUUGGGCAAUGGGCGCAAGCCUGACCCAGCAACGCCGCGUGAAGGAAGAAGGCUUUCGGGUUGUAAACUUCUUUUCUCAGGGACGAAGAAAGUGACGGUACCUGAGGAAUAAGCCACGGCUAACUACGUGCAAGCAGCCGCGGUGAUACGUAGGUGGCAAGUGUUAACCGGAUUUACUGGGUGUAAAGGGCGUGUAGGCGGGGAAGCAAGUCAGAUGUGAAAACAACGGGCUCAACCUGUGGCUUGCAUUUGAAACUGUGUGUCUUGAGUACUGGAGAGGCAGACGGAAUUCCUAGUGUAGCGGUGAAAUGCGUAGAUAUUAGGAGGAACACCAGUGGCGAAGGCGGUCUGCUGGACAGCAACUGACGCUGAGGCGCGAAAGCGUGGGGAGCAAACAGGAUUAGAUACCCUUGUAGUC